UAGCGAGCAUACACUGUUGUUGUAACGUUACAGAACAUCAGUCAAAUAUUUGGAACAAUGGCACUCAAAACAAAACUAAAUAUAUCAUUAAAAUAGCCCAUAAGAUAACAAUUACCUAAAAUGGAUUGCUCUCAGCCUGUUAGACUCCAAACGCUCCAAAAUGAUAAUACUCCAAAACCUAUUUUUAUUUUCAAUGAGAAUCAUAUUGUUUAUGUGUCGGGGUUGCUGAUAAUGUUGAUUUUAUACCUAUCUUGGUCCUUAUAUCAGUGCCGCCAGUGCCACCGCAGGUAAAUGUUAAGAUUUGGUUCGGGAAUAAAAUUUGAGCUAAUUACUAACUGAAAAUGGGUUGUUCUCUGAGAUGCUCCAAGGCGUUGGGUCCUUUGUUAGGAGAAAAUUAUAUUCAGGCACUCUUUAUUGUUUUGUGUCUAAUAGCCACUGUACUAGCAUACAAGGUCUUCCGUUGCCGGCACCCGAGGAGAAGAAUUUUUUGUAUAUAAUUAUUCAAAAUAAAAGUUUCUCUGACCAUGGAAGAAAAAACACUGUCCGGAUCCGAGAGUAGGUUGUAGGGAUGAUCAAACUCGGCAACUUCCCCACUGCUCAUGACUAAAACUUUGUCGGAGUCCAUAAUCGUAUUGAGGCGAUGGGCAAUUGUCAGCAC